rnacentral:rRNA from 1 species
UACGUUGGGUGCAAGCGUUAAUCGGAAUUACUGGGCGUAAAGCGUGCGCAGGCGGUUUUGUAAGACAGGCGUGAAAUCCCCGGGCUCAACCUGGGAACUGCAUUUGUGACUGCAAGGCUAGAGUACGGCAGAGGGGGAUGGAAUUCCGCGUGUAGCAGUGAAAUGCGUAGAUAUGCGGAGGAACACCAAUGGCGAAGGCAAUCCCCUGGGCCUGUACUGACGCUCAUGCACGAAAGCGUGGGGAGCAAACAGG